UACGUAGGGACCAAGCGUUGUUCGGAUUUACUGGGCGUAAAGGGCGCGUAGGCGGCGUGGUAAGUCACUUGUGAAAUCUCUGAGCUUAACUCAGAACGGCCAAGUGAUACUGCUGUGCUAGAGUGCAGAAGGGGCAAUCGGAAUUCUUGGUGUAGCGGUGAAAUGCGUAGAUAUCAAGAGGAACACCGGUGGCGAAGGCGGCCAACUGGACGAAUACUGACGCUGAGACACGAAAGCGUGGGGAGCAAACAGG
rnacentral:rRNA from 1 species